AAUAGAUACCCUGGUAGUCCUAGCCGUAAACGAUGAGCACUGGGUUGAAGGGUCCUCCAUAGCCUUUCAGCCGUAGCGAAAGUGUUAAGUGCUCCGCCUGGGGAGUAUGGUCGCAAGGCUGAAACUCAAAGAAAUUGACGGGGGCUCACACAAGCGAUGGAGGAUGUGGCUUAAUUCGAGGCUACGCGAAGAACCUUAUCCUAGUCUUGACAUGCACGGAUUAACUCCCUGAAAGGGGAGCCACGCCUUCGGGUGGAACGUGCACAGGUGCUGCAUGGCUGUCGUCAGCUCGUGCUGUGAAGUGUCGGGUUAAGUCCCUUAACGAGCGAAACCCUUGUCGCUAGUUGCCAGCGAGUCAUGUCGGGGACUCUAGCGAGACCGCCGGUGUUAAACCGGAGGAAGGUGGGGAUGACGUCAAGUCCUCAUGGCCUUUAUGACUAGGGCUGCACACGUCCUACAAUGGCAUGCACAAAGGGACGCAAAGUCGCGAAGCCAAGCAAAUCCCAAAAAACGNUGCCCCAGUUCGGAUUGC
rnacentral:rRNA from 1 species